rnacentral:hammerhead_ribozyme from 1 species
AUCUAGCUGACGAGUCCCGAAUAGGACGAAACGCGAGUCCUGGAU